UAAUUUGGUUUUUAGUUUUUUCAAUUUUGCUUCAUUCGUUGAAUGACUUCUGAUGUUCUUUCUAAUAAGAAGUAUAUAUAUAUAUAAUUCGUGAAAUGUUUAGUAAUUGAAUUUGAAGCAUUUAGGGCUUUGUUAUGGGAAAUUGUGAUAAUUUUGGGGAUUUUCAGUUACCCCUUUAGCAAUGUUCUGAGUGCUUUAGGGAUGAACAAGCCCCUCAAAUCCAUCCAUCCUACUCACUUUGUCAGCUUUCUCUUCUCUAGUCUUGCUGAUCAUUAAUGGGUGGUACAUACACGCCUUCAAUUUUAUAGCUUAGUGGAGUAAAAUUCUGAUGUCAUUACAAAAUCUUUUAGGAUAAUUGAUUUUGGUUUCUGGGUUUGAAUUUUGUACAUUAAAUUUGGCUGAAGAGCGCAUUGUUUGAAGAAAGAAUGAUUUUUUUAAAACCUGUUGGGCAAUAAAAAGCAAUUCUUUUUGAGUCCCAUGAAUGGUGUCUGUGAAAUUUGGACACUGUUUUUGUGUUUCUUGCCAAAUGUUGAUGAUGAUAAAUCCAAAGGCUUGUUUCUCAAAACAUUCGCAGUGGCCGCCUAAGAGCUUUCGCCUUUGCCGGGCUUGAGAGCUUGUGCUGUUCAAUCCUUCCUUGGAUGUCUGAAACUUAUUUUCCCUCUCACCUCCACACACAGCAACCUUUGGUGAUCAGAUGUUUUGAGCAAAUUUCUUAUUUAUUCAGGACUUUUGCUUUGUUAUAUAUGAAAUUCACAAUGCUAUGUUUAUUUUCUUUUGAAAAUUCUAUUCAUAAAUGGCUGAAUCUCAUUCUUCCUUCAUAUUUAUUCUGGGUAUUCAAUAUCUAUGCGUUUUGUUUCAUAAUUUGUCCAAUGAUGACAAAUCCAAAGGCUUGUUUCUCAAAACAUUCGCAGUGGCCGCCUAAGAGCUUUCGCCUUCGCCAGGCUUGAGAGCUUGUGCUGCUUCAAUCCUUCCUUGGAUGUCUGAGGAAUUUUUCAUUUGAUUGUGAAGUUCUAUUAACUUCUCUGAUGGGGUUGAUCUUGAGAUCACUAUGGAAGACAUCGCUUUGGCUGUAGAGUGCCCCCACCGGUGCCCGCUAGACUUGGUCAAGCGAAAUGACACUUCCCGCCAUGGCAUCUUCCCUAUUGGCUUCACGGCAAGAAAUUGUGGAUUAUAUGUGUGGAAGUGAUACAUGAAUGAACAAGUCAAUGCAUGAUUAUAUAUAUUUUUUUUAAUAAAAGAUUUUUGGACGACAUUAUUGAGUGUUUGACAGAUACACGUGAGUUAUAUUUUUCAUGUAUGUGAAAUUUUCAUGUUAAAUUCAAUUUACUAUUAUUUUGAA